UUGAUCUCAAUCCCCCUCUACCGUACCUUCUCAUUUAAAGGAGAUACUCCAGCCUCAUUUCAUUUUGUUUUUCCUCUGAAAAGGAGAUUGUGCUUCCUGUUACCCGUCAAAUUGGUGCCACUGUCAACCGUCAAAUUUUCCCCCUUUUUAAAAAAAAAAAUUUAUUUAUUAUGGCUUCGGCAGCGGACAGAAGCGUUGUGAGCUUCAAUGGCGGCGGCAAUGUAAGUUUGUCGUUGCAGGUCUGGGAUGCGUUAAGAAACGUGGAUUUCAGAACACCAAAAUCCAGUGAUUUCAUACAACGACAUACGUCGAGCAGCAAAGGUUAGGAAUUUAUUCCUAACAUAGCCCCCUUAACCCAUUUAAAAAAAAAACCUCAACCUUAACCCUAACCAAAAUUAUUCCUAACAUAGCUUCCUUCCCGUUUCAACUCAAAUGCGGCCGUGAGCUUAACGAUCAGAUUGAAAGCUUUAAUUUUGAAUGUUUUUUAUAGCCUACUGAACAGUUUCAGCUUAAAUGCGGCUCUGGAUUUAGCCAUCAAAUUGAAGAAUUCAAUUUUGGAAGCUAUUUAUCACCGACUGAACGGCAUUGAAGCACUCUCUUUCAUUGAAGCAUUUCAUGCACUUCUUGGUGACCUCACCUUGUUUCCGAUAGCCUUAAUUGGUUUACACUUUCAAGUCUUGGACGUCUCAACACUUCAUAUGCAUUUUGCUAUCGUCUUGCUUUUCUUCAUGGCUACAAUUGUCCAUCGCAUUGCAUAUACGGAGAUAAAACUACGACCUCAAGAUGCUAGGUAUCUUCCUAUAUUGAGUUUCAUUUGUCUGGUUUCUGGAAUUAUUGCUAUUGAGCUACUCUUCGCAAUAAUCAUCUCCCCCUUUUGGCUAUUCAUGGUUAAUUUAUGCCCAAUCUUGAUCCUAGGGGUACUGCGUCAUUUGUACCAACAAAUCUAUCAGUGUGUUUACUACACAGCUAAUUUAGUACUCAAUCCAGUAUGUAGCUUGUUUAAAAAGAUUUGUGAAUUAGUUGAUCAAAUAUAUGACUGGGGUACAGAAAUUCCAGUAAGCGGCUUCUCAACCAUUUUCUACAAGGGAACAAGAAAGACAAUGGUAUGUAUUUAGAUGGAAGAAAAUGUUGAAGUGACAUGUAGUUAAUUAUACUUAUUUUAAGAAAAAAAAAGGGAUGCUUGUGAUUCUUUUACUAGUAAUAGAGUCAGCUGGUGUUAGAUUUAAGACUGAUUGCAGUAUUCCUUUAUGUCUCAUUCCUAAUAGUGGCAUCUUGGUAAUACUUUAUUGCCUGAUCUGUAUUUGCACACAUAAGAAGUUGUCAUCCAUUUAUUUCUUUUGGAUCCCGCUCCAUCUAGCAUCAAAA